rfam:Gossypium raimondii Chr02_contig_1156, whole genome shotgun sequence.
AGACCAUAGUGAGGGCAUCUUUCUACCAGCAACUUAAAUCUCUCCCAAGCUUCAUAAAAACUUUCUCCUUCCAUUUGUUUAAAAUCUGUGAUCUCUCUUCUCAGUUG